UAGCCGCCUAUCUCCGUUCCCUCUCUCUGCUCUCACGUCUCUCUCUCCCUCGCCUCUCUCGCGCCGCCGUCGACAUGAGGAGCGCAAAGCGCCGUCCCGCCUUGACUACCGCCCUCUCCCACACGUCCUCCUCCCUGCUCCCAUUCCUCCCUCGUGGGAACCCUAGCCGCCGCGCUCUCCCACUCGUCCUCCUCCCUGCUCCCCUUCCUGGCGGCGCUCCCGACCGCCGUGCGACGUCUUCUCCUCCCCACCGUCGAACUCAGGCCGCCGCUCCGUCCCGCGUCCCCGUCGCACCUUCCCUCGAGCCGCCGCUCCGCUCCGCAUCCCCUCGCACCUCCCCUGCUGCCCGAGCCCCAAGGGCGGUGGAUCCCUUUAUUGGGGUGGACUACGGCGCUCGUAUCUCCCGCGCCGGCGCUUCCCCGUCGAGCUCGCGUGUCACGUCGUCGGGGGGAGGGAAGUUGGCGCUGCUCUUCUCGAAGGAGUGCGUCGUCGCGCCGCCGACGGGAGGAGGCCAAGCGGGACGACGGGAGGAGGUCAGGCAGAGCGCCAUCGCCACCGGUUGGCGCGUCGACGGGAGGAGGCAAGGCGGUGCCCGUCGUUGCCACCAGUUGCGCCCUACGCGGCCGAAGAGCACCAGCCGCAGGCGCUCGAUGCAGGUGAGUGCAACGCAGCAGCGGCAGAAGCUGUUGCGAGGAACUCCGGCCACACCUGCGCUCCCUCAGACCCAACCACAACAGUUGGUUGAUUUAUCCCGAUCUACUUAGCCGAUUUCAUUGCAGGGUUACUCUUGCCUUUUAUAUUUUGACCUUCUUUGUGCUUCAAUUAUCCAGGUUCAGCCCCUUUCCCUUUUCUGUUCGUCUAUUUUGUCCAUAUGAUCUAUGUGUACGGUCUGUACAUACCCAUGGAUGUAGUACGUGUAUGGUUCUCAUCAUAGAUGUUUACUAUGGUGCCUACUACUUUUCACAGAUAUAGGGCUGAUAUUUGCUUACAAAAAAGGGCAAUGGCUCUGAAUCAAUCAUAUGCUCUCUACUACAUGUAUGUGAAAUUGCGGUUUGGAUUUCUGAUGUCUGGACAUUAACUCUUGCAGGGUGUGUGAGAACAUCUCCAUUGUCCUCUGCAGUAGUAAGGUUUCUGUGAAGAACCGGCAGGUUAAAGCCAAGAGCAACUACAACUAGGAGAAGCCCUUCCUUCAUCUUGCAAGGAAGUUGGCUGGCAAUUGUCUCCCUCCCCAUUGCUUUCAUUUGCCUGUGGCCUCACAUCAUAUAUAUAUUUUAAUGUUCUGGUUCAAUAAACACAUGGAUUGGCGAUUUGCCUUUGAUUCAACUUGUGCAGGCACAAAGCUGAGCCUGUGGCGCGGCUACUGCCUGAUGACCAUGACAAUCUGACCGAGUAGAUCGAUCAAUCAUGAGUUUUAUCAUACUUUGAGCCAAAUCUUCACGCUUUUUUCUUUUAUUUGGUUAUACUGUGUAAAUAGGAAUCAAUAAUAAAAGUAGAUGGUGCAAAGUUGUGCUCCCUAGCUUCUCUGGUGUAGCAAGUUAAUAUAUAUCUUCAUUUAUGUAGCAUCUCUGGUGUUCCAUUAUGUUCAGCUAUGUAUGUUCAUUUGGUCCCUUAGUUACUCCCUCGGCCCUCUUGGCUGCCACCGAAUGGAUUUUUAUAUUUUUGUAUAUCUUCAUGGUCCUAUGCUCCAUAUAGGCUUUUCUAUGUAUUAAAAAAAAAUCAGCUGCAUGAAAGUGAUACAUAUAUGUGAUGAUCUCUGACUUGACCUGUGCUGGGUUUACUCCUGCAGCAGUCGGUAUCCAGUAUAGCGGGUUUUGGGACGUGGGGUGGAGUAGCUACGACGGGGAGGGGCCCUGCGAUGACCUUGAUGCCUGCUACCGCUACCACCAGCAUCAAGUCAGAAAAGGAAGGGCUGCGGGCUAGACUGAGAGGGCGAGACUGGGGAGGCUGAGUAGGAGACCAGAUAGCGGUGAUGUCGAGGUGGAAGUAGCCAUGAUCCCUGGAGAUGUUCCUCAAGAUUCAUAUUUAUCUGUGCCUAUAUGGUGUUGCGUGAAAAUGCAAGCGGGCCGCAAGGUGCUGGUGCUUGGAUCUCGGUUGCACUGGUGAGCCAUCACUUCUCUCCACCAUCCUCUUCACAAUUAUGGCCAAUUGAGCCCAGAGUUGCUAUACCACCAUUCUUGGCUAUGACGCUCAGCUUCUUGUUGACAGUCAACAUCCGACAAGUGGAGCACCCGACCAUAGGAGACGGAAGAGGAGGCGAGCUAUCCACAGUAUUGUCCUCUCCCCGCGUAGCCACCUACAUACACUGUCCACAAGUUGUAUCAACCUCCAUGUCCUCCACUUCCCCCGCCAGGUGGAAGCAGCACCAUCGACAUUCAUGCCGUUUUCAUCCUUUGCAUCAAGAAUACGUCAUCCUCAUGUUGGCUCUGUGGGAGCCGAUGGGAUUACCAUGACACAUGCCAAUGUUUUGAUAGUUUAGCAAGUGGAAUUUUCUGAUGAUGUGGUUAUGUCAUGUGCUAGCAGAUAUAAAUAUUUAGUGAUAUAUGCUGGUUCAGGAAAUUGACGUUUGCUUCAACAUCUGGCUAGGUUAUGCUUUUAGGAGAUAAAUGUUCUUCUGUCAUUUUAGUUUCAAGUGCUUUUGAUUGAUAAUGUAAGGAUGUGUACAUAUAGUAAAGUUUUCUAUUACUAAUUGGUUGAGUGAUGCAAAUUAGUGAUUUUGCUCU